rnacentral:misc_RNA from 1 species
GCCAAUUGUGAGCUUUAAUGCAUUUGCCUCGCAGAUGUCCCACAGAAUAACUACAAACUUAGAGACUUGGCUUGGUAUGGUUUACGUUGGACAUUCAGCUUUCUCCUAAUGGAACUAAUGACGCAUCUAUUUCAUUACAAUGCCUUGGCUAUCAGUGGUUUGUGGAAACAGCUAUCUCCACUGGACGUGUUCAUUAUUGGAUAUGGGGUCUUAAAUUUCAU